UGCCCCGGGAUGGGCCUCGGGAGCACCGGGACCGGCCGCCCGCGACCCCUGGGCUGAACGCAGACCCCUCCAGGCACCGAGGCCGCGGGUGGACCGGGUCGAGGGGCUCCGGGGCAGCGUCACCCAUCGCGCCCGGAGACGUCGGGUUUGGUUUCUAAACCGCAGCAGGUGAUGUCGGGUGCGGUGCCCACCCUGGCUGCCGGCCCCGCAGCCGCUGCAGCCCCCAUAGCUCCCCGCAGCCCGGCUCCCGGCCCGGGACCCGCACGAAGGGAGCUCGGGACACCCCAGCGCAGUCCGGCACAACCCGCAAGUUCCUGCGUGGGGCUCAGGGAAGGGAUGAACCCCAAAUCCCGGCUGCUCUGAGCUGUGGGUAAGCUGGCUGUUGAAGAUCAGAUAGACUCGUAGAACGGUUUGGGUUGGAAAGGACCUUAAACAUCGUCUGGUUCUAACAGCUGAUGUCAAUCCAGCGUUUUUAAAGCACACGGGUUAUGCGCGCUGAGAAUGUGGAAAUCAUCACAACAAAAGUAAAUUAACUCCUUGGGCUUAUCUGGACCAAGCCAUUGUCAUCUUUCAGAGGCUCAGUACCUUCACUGAUAUUUUCUGCAUCACUCAUCUGGUACCUACUGAUACAAAGUUUAGAUGGUUCCAUUUUCAACGUUGGAUCCAUUGACUGGAGGCUCAACAAUCAGUCUUGGCUCUAUCAGGGCAUCCCAGCUUUCAGUUAUCUGAAAACAAAGCACAGACAAC